AGGCUAGAAAAUUGCGCAAUGGGCGAAAGCCUGACGCAGCGACGCCGCGUGAAGGAUGAAAGCAUUUUUUGUUGUAAACUUCUUUUAUAUGAGACGAUGGUUACGUCUGCUAAUAUCAGCCGUAAUUGACGGUAUCAUUUGAAUAAGCUCCGGCUAAAUCCGUGCCAGCAGCCGCGGUAAUACGGAUGGAGCUAGCGUUGUCCGGAAUCACUGGGCGUAAAGGGGGUGUAGGUUGUGGUGUAAGUCAUGGGUGAAAAUCACAAGCUCAACUUGUGACCUGCCUUUGAUACUGCGCCGCUAGAGGUCAGUAGAGGAGAGCGGAACUACCGGUGUAGCGGUGAAAUGCACAGAUAUCGGUAGGAACACCAGAGGCGAAGGCGGCUCUCUGGACUGAUUCUGACACUGAAACCCGAAAGCUGGGGGAGCAAACAGGAUUAGAGACCCUGGUAGUCCCAGCCCUAAACGAUGAGCACUAGGCGUGGGAUCGCAAAUGGUUCCGUGUCGUAGCUAACGCGUUAAGUGCUCCGCCUGGGGAGUACGCUCGCAAGAGUGAAACUCAAAGGAAUUGACGGGACCCCGCACAAGCGGUGGAGGAUGUUGUUUAAUUCGAUGCAACGCGAAGAACCUUACCUGGACUUGACAUGCAGGUAGUACUGAAGUGAAAGCGGAUGGACCCCUUCGGGGGAGCCCGCACAGGUGCUGCAUGGCUGUCGUCAGCUCGUGCCGUGAGGUGUUGGGUUAAGUCUCGCAACGAGCGCAACCCCUGCCUCCAGUUGCCAUCAGAUCUUCGGAUGCUGGGCACUCUGGCGGGACUGCCUGCGUAAGCAGGAGGAAGGUGGGGAUGAUGUCAAGUCAUCAUGGCCCUUACGUCCAGGGCUACAAACGUCCUACAAUGCUCGGUACAAAGAGAAGCUAAACCGCGAGGUCAAGCCAAUCUCAUAAAGCCGGGCUCAGUUCGGAUUGCAGUCUGCAACUCGACUGCAUGAAGCUGGAAUCGCUAGUAAUCGCGCAUCAGAACGGCGCGGUGAAUACGUUCCCGGGGUUUGUACACACCGCCCGUCAAGCCAUGGAAGCUGGUAGUACCUAAAGUUGCCGACCCAACCUUUACUGGAGGGAGGCACCUAAGGUAAGGCCAGUGACUGGGGCU
rnacentral:rRNA from 1 species